rnacentral:rRNA from 1 species
AUGGUGAGGGUUAGCGUCCUGAACGAUGCUCUCAAGAGCAUGUACAACGCUGAGAAGCGUGGCAAGAGGCAGGUGAUGAUCAGGCCCUCCUCAAAAGUGAUCAUCAAGUUCCUCAUCGUCAUGCAGAAGCACGGUUACAUUGGUGAGUUUGAGUAUGUUGAUGACCACAGAUCUGGCAAGAUUGUUGUGGAGUUGAACGGCAGACUGAACAAGUGUGGAGUCAUCAGCCCCCGCUUUGAUGUUGGUGUCAAGGAGAUCGAGGGAUGGACCGCCAGGCUCCUUCCAUCUCGUCAGUUUGGCUACAUCGUCCUGACAACCUCUGCUGGCAUCAUGGAUCACGAGGAAGCCAGGAGGAAGAACGUUGGUGGCAAAGUGCUAGGCUUUUUCUACUGA